rnacentral:rRNA from 1 species
AGCAGCCGCGGUAAUUCCAGCUCCAAUAGCGUAUAUUAAAGUUGUUGCAGUUAAAAAGCUCGUAGUUGAAUUUCGGGAUCAAGUCGUCGGUCGUGCCUCGGUACGCACUGGUGACAUUGGUUUCUCCCUUCUGAAGAACCUUGAUGUCAUUAAUUUGGUGUCUUGGGGAAUCAGGACUGUUACUUUGAAAAAAUUAGAGUGUUUAAAGCAGGCUCACGCUUGAAUACAUUAGCAUGGAAUAAUGAAAUAGGACGUUUGAUUCUAUUUUGUUGGUUUCUAGGAUCGACGUAAUGAUUAAUAGGGAUAGUUGGGGGCAUUAGUAUUCAAUUGUCAGAGGUGAAAUUCUUGGAUUUAUUGAAGACUAACUACUGCGAAAGCAUUUGCCAAGGAUGUUUUCAUUAAUCAAGAACGAAAGUUAGGGGAUCGAAGACGAUCAGAUACCGUCGUAGUCUUAACCAUAAACUAUGCCGACUAGGGAUCGGAUGAUGUUAAUUUUAAUGACUCAUUCGGCGCCUUAACC